ACCAGGAGAUGAGCUACAGAGGUUGAGUUCAUGGGCUCCUUUAUAUAAGCCUUGCCUCAAAGGGAUGUCUUCUGGACUAAGUUCUCUCCUCUUUCUUGCUUUCCAGAAACUGGACUCUGAGGGAAUUUCACUGAAACUAACUAAUUCAGAGAGUUAGUGCUGAAAAUUUAAAAAGCAAAGCAAACCUUGCAGGAUUUCAAUAUAAGAUGAAGAAGCACGAACUACAGCUGAGCUAUAAAGUUCCAUGCCAAUGAAAUCCAAGGAACUUCCUGGAUAGGAGGCUGAAAAUGAUACCAAGGAAGGCUAUGCAGAAGACCAUCAUAGCAGCAUAGUGUUACGAUCGGAGGGUGACUCUUCUGGAUUUUCCAUCAGUCAUAGCUCUGUUAGCACAGACGCAACGCUGACUGUGGAAAAUGUACAGUUGACCUGGUUCAGCAAGAGUGAGACGAGGGAGGGCAGGCUGUCUUCUCUACAGAUCACCCAGUGACCACCACUCAUCCUCAUCUCACUUUCAGGAUUCCUAUGUCUAUGAUGCCUCUUUUAUACCAUGCUGCUUUAGUUUAUAAUCUG
rnacentral:lncRNA from 1 species